rnacentral:misc_RNA from 1 species
CAUCCUCUCAAGCCUGGCUUGGUCUUGGGGCGCGCCGGCUCGGCGUCCCCUAAACAGAGUGGCGGUACCGUUGUGCUCUCCGCGUAGUCACGUAUCUCGCGACAGAGUGGCGACGGGACCUGCCAAAACCCACCUAUUUUUUU